CGUAAUGAUGAAAUUGCAGAAUUCAGUGAAUCAUCUGAAUCUUUGAACGCAUCUUGCGCUCCUUGGUAUUCCGAGGAGCAUGCCUGUUUGAGUGUC
rnacentral:rRNA from 1 species